GGAAAAUAGAACUAAACAAAUGGUCUUCUAUCUCCUAGCUGGAUUUAGAGGAGUAGGUCUAGGGCUUUUUCAUCUCAAACCAGCAAGAUUCUCAAUCUCAAGCCGCCCCCUUUAUUUCCUCUGUUAACUCAAAAAGACAAGAACUUUCCAUUUCUUCGCAUCAGCAGCAACAAUGGAAGAGAAUGACCAAACUCCUCCAUCUGAAGAGAUGCAAUCCCUCACUGUCACCCCUUCAGCUUCAUCCUUAUCAAAUCCCACUACACCCCAGUUGUUAAGUUUAGAGGAAAGGUUUCAACUUGUGAGAAGCGUUGGUGAAGAAUGCAUCCAAGAAGAUGAACUACGUAAUCUUCUUGAUAAAAAACCGCUACCCAUUUGUUAUGAUGGUUUUGAACCUUCUGGGAGAAUGCACAUUGCUCAGGGAGUCAUGAAGACAAUAAAUGUCAACAAACUGACUAAAGCUGGUUGCAAAAUGAAAAUUUGGAUCGCUGACUGGUUUGCACAGCUUAAUAACAAAAUGGGAGGAGACUUGAAGAAAAUUAAAACUGUGGGGGAAUAUCUUAUCGAGAUAUGGAAGGCAGUUGGGAUGGAUAUUGAUGGAGAUAAGGUUGAAUUCCUGUGGUCUUCGGAUGAGAUUAACUCCAGAGCUCAUGAGUACUGGCCUCUAGUUAUGGAUAUAGCCCGCAGGAACAAGCUUCCUAGGAUAAUGAGAUGUGUUCAAAUCAUGGGACGUAGUGAGCAGGAUGAGUUAACAGCAGCCCAGAUUUUCUAUCCAUGCAUGCAAUGUGCAGACAUAUUUUUCCUCAAGGCUGACAUUUGUCAACUGGGCAUGGAUCAACGGAAAGUAAAUGUCCUUGCAAGAGAAUACUGUGAUGAUAUCAAGAGGAAAAACAAGCCCAUCAUUUUAUCUCAUCACAUGCUACCUGGUUUGCAGCAAGGGCAAGAAAAGAUGUCUAAAAGUGAUCCAUCUUCUUCCAUCUUCAUGGAGGAUGAAGAGGUGGAGGUAAAAACUAAGAUAAAGAAGGCAUACUGCCCCCCACAAAUUGUUGAAGGAAAUCCUUGUCUGGAAUACAUUAAACACAUUGUUUUCCCAUGGUUCAAUAAGUUCAAGGUGGAACGCAAUCCAGAAAAUGGUGGAGAGAAGAUCUAUGAAAGCUUUGAAGAACUUGUCUCUGACUAUGAAAGUGGUGGAUUACAUCCGGGUGACCUGAAACCUGCUCUCGCAAAAGCAUUAAAUAUGAUACUUCAGGUAAGCUCUCUUUGCAGGAACUUGCAUGGGAAAAAAAGUGGAUUCACAUGGAAGACAGCUCUUUUAUAUAUUGUUCUUGACCAGAACUUUCAAUUCAGAUUUGUGUCUUGUCUUCCUCUCUAUCAUGUCAUUUGGGACUCUUGGGUAUUAUUUUCCUCAAACUAGAGGAGACAUUCUGAAACGGAACCAGUUAGUUGAUGCUGUAUUAUAACUAGAAAUUACUCUAUCCUAACUAGUCAGCAAGCUAAUUCAAUACCGCUACAUUUAUUUGCAGCCUGUACGUGAUCAUUUUAGCAAAGAUCCCAAGGCAAAGGAUCUGUUGAAACGAGUCAAGGGUUAUAGAGUAACAAGGUGACGAGGAAGAGAAUGCGAUUCCCUUCUAGUUAUGCUAAGAAAUGUAUCAAUGCCAAACUUGGAAUUAUACUUCCAAUACAUCUAAAUGUUGCUAAAUACUUAUUUGAUAAAGAAUCUUGUUAAUGUUUUGGGGUUAUUUUUUAGAUUUUGGAAGUUGAAACCAAUCAGUGCCUGGUGCCAACAUUGUAUUCAUCAGAAAACCUUGUUUCA